rnacentral:rRNA from 1 species
AGAGUUUGAUCCUGGCUCAGAACGAACGCUGGCGGCAUGCCUAACACAUGCAAGUCGAACGAAGCCUUCGGGCUUAGUGGCGCACGGGUGCGUAACGCGUGGGAAUCUGCCCUUGGGUACGGAACAACAGUUAGAAAUGACUGCUAAUACCGUAUGAUGUCUUCGGACCAAAGAUUUAUCGCCCAGGGAUGAGCCCGCGU